rnacentral:rRNA from 1 species
AUUGAACGCUGGCGGCAGGCCUAACACAUGCAAGUCGAACGAGUGGCGGACGGGUGAGUAAUGUCUGGGAAACUGCCUGAUGGAGGGGGAUAACUACUGGAAACGGUAGCUAAUACCGCAUACCAUCGGAUUUGCCCAGAUGGGAUUAGCUAGUAGGGGGGGUAAAGGCUCACCUAGGCGACGAUCCCUAGCUGGUCUGAGAGGAUGACCAGCCACACUGGAACUGAGACACGGUCCGGACUCCUACGGGAGGAAGAAGUGGGGAAUAUUGGACAAGGGGCGCAAGCCGGAUGCAGCCAGGCGGCGUGUAUGAGGAAGGCCUUCGGGUUUUAAAGUCCUUUCAGCGGGGAGGCGUUACCCGAAGAAGAAGCACCGGCUAACUCCGUGCCAGCAGCCGCGGUAAUAC